GACGAACGCUGGCGGCGUGCUUAACACAUGCAAGUCACGGGGGUCCCGCAAGGGAUAACCGGCGAACGGGUGCGUAACACGUGACCAACCUGCCCCUGUGUGGGGGAUAGCCAUGCUAACGCGUGGGUAAUACCGCAUACGGUCCCUUGGGGGAGUCCCUGGGGGAAGAAAGCUCUGGCGCACGGGGAGGGGGUCGCGGCCUAUCAGCUAGUUGGCGAGGUAAUGGCUCACCAAGGCGACGACGGGAGCUGGUCUGAGAGGAUGGCCAGCCACAUUGGGACUGAGAGACGGCCCAGACUCCUACGGGAGGCAGCAGUGGGGAAUCUUGCGCAAUGGCCGAAAGGCUGACGCAGCGAC
rnacentral:rRNA from 1 species